rnacentral:lncRNA from 1 species
ACGCAGUGGCCUCCCGAAUCUCCCAGGACCCUAAUGUCGCCCGAGGAUGCUGGGAGGAACACUGAGCCGACCUCUCCGUUAGGCUGAAGAUUGCACAAACCAUGCUAAUGGCCAGCAUGGGUGGAGGGAGCGUGUGAGAUGUGUGGGGCGGCGUGCUGCAUCUCAGCCAACUCCAGGAGCCUGUUGAUGUGAUGGACUACCUUAAUUGAUUUUUGAAUGUUGAGCCAGCCUUAUGCAUGUGGGAUAAACCCCUGUUGAUCAUGGAGCUCCCAGGCCUCUACAAUUUGCUGGGUCCCAUUAGUUUCUGAGACAGGAAGCAUGCUCAUGGCAAUACCCGGAGUCUCCACUGCAAGACCAGAGUGAUGGAGGCAGCAGAGCUCCUCAGCAGGCCAGGAGUCUCCAGAGGCACUGCCGAAUGUCUAAGAAGCAACCUCAUUGUAUUCCCAAGAGCUGGGAAUCCAGGUCUCGCAGAUACGAUGAUACAAUCUAUAGCCAGGACAUCUCUUCAUGUGUAGUUUUCAAUGAAUACUAGGAUAAGCAACUAUCCCAGUCUUCCCAGGAUUGAGGGACUUCUCCAGAUGCUGCACUUCCGGUGCUAAAAAUUAGAAACUGAAAUGAAUUAGUCACCCAAGGAAUGCUGACCCUGUGCUAUAUGAUCACAUUUACUCUUUAAAGCAAUGCUUUGAGAACAAUUGAUCUGCAUAGUCCCUGCAAUCUUAUAAAGGCAUUUGGCCUGGA